UACGAGUGGUGCAAGCGUUAUUCGGAAUCAUUGGGCGUAAAGGGUGUGUAGGUGACAAAUUAAGUCUGUUGUUAAAUUUCCCGGCCUAACCGGGACAAUGCGGUGGAAACUGAUUUGAUAGAGGUUGGAAGAGAGAAGUGGAAUUCUUGGAGUAGCGGUAAAAUGCGUAGAUAUCAAGAGGAACACCGAUGGCGAAGGCAGCUUCUUGGUCCAUACCUGACACUGAGACACGAAAGCGUGGGGAGCAAACAGG
rnacentral:rRNA from 1 species